rnacentral:rRNA from 1 species
ACACGAAAUCGUACCCCAAACCGACACAGGUGGUCAGGUAGAGAAUACCAAGGCGCUUGAGAGAACUCGGGUGAAGGAACUAGGCAAAAUGGUGCCGUAACUUCGGGAGAAGGCACGCUGAUGUGUAAGUGAAGCCCCUGCGGGUGGAGCUGAAAUCAGUCGAAGAUACCAGCUGGCUGCAACUGUUUAUUAAAAACACAGCACUGUGCAAACACGAAAGUGGACGUAUACGGUGUGACGCCUGCCCGGUGCCGG